GCCUCGAUGGUGUAGUCCGGAGAUCAUCUGGGACUGUCACUCCCAGGACGGCUUUGGUGAAACCCAAAGUCGGGGAAAACCCGGGUCCAAAUCCCGGUCGGGGCGCCA
rnacentral:tRNA from 1 species